GACGAACGCUGGCGGCGUGCUUAACACAUGCAAGUCGAACGAGUGGCGGACGGGUGAGUAAUGUCUGGGAAACUGCCUGAUGGAGGGGGAUAACUACUGGAAACGGUAGCUAAUACCGCAUACCAUCAGAUGUGCCCAGAUGGGAUUAGCUUGUUGGUGGGGUAACGGCGCACCAAGGCGGAGAUCCCUAGCUGGUCUGAGAGGAUGACCAGCCACACUGGAACUGAGAUACGGUCCAGACUCCUACGGGAGGCAGCAGUUGGGAAUAUUGCACAAUGGGCGCAAGCCUGAUGCAGCCAUGCCGCGUGUAUGAAGAAGGCCUUCGGGUUGUAAAGUACUUUCAGCGGGGAGGCGUUACCCGCAGAAGAAGCACCGGCUAACUCCGUGCCAGCAGCCGCGGUAAUUC
rnacentral:rRNA from 1 species